rnacentral:tRNA from 1 species
GGGGGUUAGCUCAAGUGGUAGAGCACAUGCUUAGCAUGUGCAAGGUCCUGGGUUCAAUCCCCAGUACCUUCG